rnacentral:rRNA from 1 species
AUUGAACGCUGGCGGCAUGCCUUACACAUGCAAGUCGAACGGCAGCGGGGGCUUCGGUCCGCCGGCGAGUGGCGAACGGGUGAGUAAUGUAUCGGAACGUACCAUUCAGUGGGGGAUAACUAUCCGAAAGGAUAGCUAAUACCGCAUAUUCUGUGAGCAGGAAAGCAGGGGAUCGCAAGACCUUGCGCUGAUUGAGCGGCAGAUAUCAGAUUAGCUAGUUGGUGAGGUAACGGCUUACCAAGGCUACGAUAUGUAGCGGGUCUGAGAGGAUGCUCCGCCACACUGGGACUGGGACACGGCCCAGACUCCUACGGGAGGCAGCAGUGGGGAAUUUUGGACAAUGGGCGCAAGCCUGAUCCAGCCAUGCCGCGUGAGUGACGAAGGCCUUCGGGUUGUAAAGCUCUUUCGGCCGGGAAGAAAUCGCAUCAGCUAAUACCUGGUGUGGAUGACGGUACCGGAAUAAGAAGCACCGGCUAACUACGUGCCAGCCGCCGCCGUAACAC